rnacentral:lncRNA from 1 species
CUCUGCCUCCCGGGUUCAAGCGAUUCUCCUGCCUCAGCCUCCCGAGUAGCUGGGAUUACAGGCAUGCACCACCACGCCUGGCUAACUUUACUAGAGAUGGGAUUUCUCCAUGUUGGUCAGGCUGGUCUCAAACUCCCAACCUCAGGUGAUCUGCCCUCCUCGGCCUCCCAAAGUGCUGAGAUUACAGGCAUGAACCACCAUGCCCAGCCUAUUAUUUAUAUCUUAUCAAUUAUUUAGGUUGCCAACUUCUUCCCUGUAUUAUGCUGUUCCCUCUAUGUUUUUGGUUUUCAACCCUGUCUGCAACUUAUAGUCACUUGGGGAGUUUUUCUAAAAAAUGCCCAGGUCCAGUCUCUAUAGUUUUCUAUUCUAUCAUCUGAGAUAGGGCAUUUGUAUAUGUAAUUAUUUAAGUGUUCAAUGUCUUACCUUCUUGCUGGACUGUUUAUGAAAACUAAGGCCUGUGUCCCCAGCGCCUAGUACAGUGCCUUUGCUAUAGCUGUUUAAUAAUUGUUAAAUGACUACUUCUAUUUGCGACAUAUUUUAAUUUCGUAUCAGAAAGAGCUGGAACUAUUCUUUUG